rnacentral:ribozyme from 14 species
ACAACAAAAGACCCCUCAGAAAAGUGGAAAAAAAGACCUCGUCUCUUUUCUUUUUCUUUCUCUCUUUCUCUUUGUUUUUGUUUUUGUCUUU